AUUGAACGCUAGCGGCAUGCUUAACACAUGCAAGUCGAACGAGUGGCGGACGGGUGAGUAAUAUAUCGGAACGUGCCCAAUAGCGGGGGAUAACUGCUCGAAACUGUGGCUAAUACCGCAUACUAUUAUAUCGGCCCAUAUCGGAUUAGCUAGUUGGUGGGGUAAAGGCUCACCAAGGCAACGAUCCCUAGCUGGUUUGAGAGGACGACCAGCCACAUUGGGACUGAGACACGGUCCAGACUCCUACGGGAGGCAGCAGUGGGGAAUUUUGGACAAUGGGGGAAAGCCUGAUGCAGCCAGGCCGCGUGUAUGAGAAGGCCUUCGGGUUGUAAAGUACUUUUGGCAGAGAGGCGGUAUCUGAAGAAGAAGCACCGGCUAACUACGUGCCAGCAGCCGCGGUAAUAC
rnacentral:rRNA from 1 species